GACGAACGCUGGCGGCGUGCUUAACACAUGCAAGUCGAGCGAGGCCCGCCUUUCGGGGUGGUGUCCUAGCGGCGAACGGGUGAGUAACACGUGGGCAACCUGCCCUCAGCUCUGGGAUAACUCCAAGAAAUUGGGGCUAAUACCGGAUAUGACCGCUGACCGCAUGGUCUGGUGGUGGAAAGAUUUAUCGGCUGGGGAUGGGCCCGCGGCCUAUCAGCUUGUUGGGGGGUAGUGGCCUACCAAGGCGACGACGGGUAGCCGGCCUGAGAGGGUGACCGGCCACACUGGGACUGAGACACGGCCCAGACUCCUACGGGAGGCAGCAGUGGGGAAUAUUGCGCAAUGGGCGAAAGCCUGACGCAGCGACGCCGCGUGGGGAUGACGGCCUCGGUUGUAA
rnacentral:rRNA from 1 species